ensembl:lncRNA
AUGUUUCAGCCCAUCAUUUUAUUCAUCCUCAUUCUAGUGUUGUUCUCCUCACUCUCUUAUGCCACCAUUUUUAAACUUGUAUUUCUUUUUACACUCUUUUUUGUCCUGUGAUAACUAUCCGUCCACUCAUUAGCAUAGUCUCGCCCUUUGUUUUGUUUGUUUGUCAAUGUUGUGUAUGUCACCAUGGUUGAAGAAUGACAGGACGGUCACUUUCCAAGCACAGAAGUCUGCAAAACCUUAAUUUCCAAAAAGCUGGAGACUGUUUUAUCCAAGUCAUUCAUCGCAUAUGUAUGGCUGCCUUUGGAAAGUACAUCAUCAAGACAAGAGGUUUAUUUUUUUGCAACUAAAAACUAUUACACAUCAUAAGAAAACACAAGACAUUUCUUUCAUUGAGGACUAUGACUAUCAGGCACACUGACGCUUGCUUUGCCACCAAAGGCUUGCAAUGAAAUAUGCAACUGCAGUUUACUACUAAGGGGGACAUUACUACAUUACCCAGAGUGCCUGCCACUGCACUCUAAAGAUACAGUACAUUGGCUGGAAUGAUUACCCGUCAGAACCAUGCAAAGAGGUAUUGGUGGACUUGCCAAUGUGGUCACUUAAGUGACCUUUCAGGAAUUGCAGCGUAAGAUUCUGAGCACAGGCACACAUACACAGAAGAAUGGCUGCAUUGGAAUUGCACUGUGGGCGGGAGCCUGGGAGUUGUGUGUGGGUUGGAGACAGAGCUGACCUGCUUGACAGUUUUGACUCCGAGAUGCAGGAAUGGGAAGAUCAGCUACAGGACAUGCAGAGGAAGAUUGAAGAGUUGUAUAAUGAGGUCAAAGCACGAAGAGAAGCCAGUGAGAGCAGCACAAACAAUAAAAACCUGGACAUUACUUUGCUUCCUGUCAACUCUCAAUAUAGCCACCAGGCCAAUGGUUAUCACGAACCUCAUGGUCACCCCAACAACAGCCUCCCAUUUCAUCAAUGCAGUGAAAUAAAAGCAGAUCCUUCAGUUAUGCAAAGCCUUGGGUUUCACCACCCCAGUGAAUACUGUAAUUUCUCCAACAAUUACAUGCUUAAUUCCCUGAGCAACGGCAGCCAUUACCCUGCCAGUUGUCAUGAUCUUGAAAGGCAAGAUGCCACUGUAGACAUACUCAAUGGAUACCUCCAACAGGGCCCGCAUUUUAGGAGGAACCCAGGGAAUCUUGGAGCUCCAAACAGAAACCCCAAGGUAUAUCCAGUUACACACAGUUAUCAAGACAGCAUGAAGACCAGCCUGGUGACAAACAGGACUGCCUUAUGUGUGGUUCUGGAUGAGACUGAUGAGGCUGAGAACAAAAAGAACAAGAAAUCAAGUUGGGGUGACUCCCAAGGCCGCCACGUUAGCUGGAAAGACCCGGUUUCAUCAAAUGACCUUCCCCCUAAAAAUUCAGCUACCAAACUGGCAAUCAGGCAGAGAGAUUCUUCUCCUGUAACCCCUUUUUCCACUUACUAUGAGUCAUCACAGCAACCUGACAGGAAGUGCCUCUUGCUCAGGAAAUCUGGCAGCCCAUCAGUGUUGCGUAAGUUUGGUGCCAUGUUGCAGGAGAAUGAGGGAAAAACCCUGAUAGAGGAUGGUCUUGUGACCAUCGUUGCCUCCUCUGAACCUCCGAGGCAAACCAGCACUCCCAUUUGCCAGAGCAAGUUUGACGCCAGGCGGGCAUCUUCACGUGCACACGUCCAGAAAUGCCUUGCAGACUGUGAUGUACUGGUAGCAGAUCUGGAGCACAGACAAGAGUCUUGGGCAGCUGGUCCUUCUAGACACCUCCUCAAUGGAGACAGAGACAGUGGGAGGGGUGGUUGUGUUCUUGAACAGCAUGGCUUGGCCUAUAACUUAAGCCAGUCACAGACUCACCUUAAUUCGGGGUAUCACAAGUUGGCUUCAAUGUCUAAAGGCCACAAAGCGGGCUUCCAGAGUAAGGACCUAUUCUCUGACUGCCAGAUGGUAGAAACAAUUCUGGGAGUAGGAUCUCAAAACUUCAAUAAGGUACACAGAGGACUUGGUGUUGAUAUGAUGAGACUGGGAAAUGACAACUUGGAGCAACUUCUGGAAAUGAUGGAAGUGGAGAACAACAGAAGUCAGAGGGCCACAUUCACCCAGCAACUGGACAACAAGCAGGUCAACCGUGAGUCAUCUCCUGCACCCAGCAGUAGACAUUUUUCUCGUCCUGCUCGACCAGCCAAUCAACGCUGUCCAUCCAGAUGGGUUAAGCAUACUCACCCAAGCAAAAUCGCAGACACAUCCAGCCCAACAAGCCCUGGCCUGAAUGCCAAACAAUGGUUGAAUUCAUAUUUCCGGCACACAGAAACUGUCAUCAUGUAAUCAGGAUACAACAAGCUUCAAAGGACACUUUCACCCAAUGGCAUAAACUAAACUUUGACCUUUUGUAGAACACAAUCUACUUUUUUGUAUAUAUAACCAACACCACCACAUCAGCGUAUCUUAUUGCAGCCUGCUAGAAUGGACUAUGGUAUUUUCCUUAAAUGACUUCAAAAGGAUAAUGCUUUCAUUUAACUCUGUGCUGUUUGAAGUGCUUUGGAAAGAAACUCCAGUGGACAUUCUCUGACCUGGUGAAUUUCUGUGCCUAUGAACCCUUCAUUGCCUUUUCUCUUCAUUUCUUUAUGUCAUUCUCAUAAAAUUUUCUAUUCUUUUAUUGUUUUUUAUUUUCCAGAGUGCUUUGUGUACAGUGCAGUUCUUGCGGUGCCAUCUUGGACAUUUUUUUUAAUCAUAUAAGCAUGUUUACAACAGGCAUAACGUAGUUAAACACAUGGCAACGAGUUAUUGAGCCUUAUCUAUUAUGCAUAAACUGUAAAGGCUUUUGCAGAUGUUUUGAUGUUCUGUCAUAAAUCCAUUUCAGUACUGCAUUAGUGCUUCAUAAUAUUGACAUGAUAACGGCUCAUAAUGUUUUUUAUAAGCCUUAUUUGACUGCACCUGAUGUGGCCUGUAACUACUCGGUGUAUGGUACAUUUUUUGCAGGAACAUGUCUGCAUUCUCCAGCCUUGUAUAUAAAAAAAAAAAAAAAAAAACCCAAAUGAGGUGAAUUCUUCUUUAAGUUCAACAUCUGUGAAAAGUAAAUUUUAUCUUUUGACAAUAAUAUCAUGAAGAAAUGCUUUUGGAAAGUUUAUUUAUUGUUGUGACAUGACCCUUACAAAAAUGUGAUGUUUUUUUUUUUUUUUUCUCUAGAUAAUAAAUGCAAGUGCUUUGAAAUGUUAGUGAAACUCUUGAACUCUAGACUCCGAAAGUUUUUUUUUUUUUUUUUUUUUUUUUUGUGGUGAUUGCUAAUGUUAGCACUAAUAUUCCUUUUCUACUCACUGUGCUAUUAUUUUUCUUUGCAAUCUGACAAGCUAAUUUUCACAUGACUGACUACAAAUCAGACAACAAACCUAUAGGCUUGUGGAACAACCUGAGUCAUCUAAGGACUAGAUAGUCAUAAAGACUUGAGAGUGGGCUCUUUUGACUUGGGGCAGUAAGCAAACAAAUGUGUAAACCAAUGUGUUAACAACCUUAUUAACCACAUAGCAAUAACUUAUAAUAUCCUAAAAAACAAAAGCAAAAGUAGAAGAUGUUUCAUGCCAACAUAGUAAAAAGGCCUCUCUUUAAUUAGCUCAUUGUUAAGCAGUAUUAACAUUGCUCUUGCCCUAUGUUACUAAAAGCUAUCAGGAAGCAUCCUUUUCCUCAUUCAGAGUCCUAAUGUAACCUGCUCUUACCAUGCCUUACUAUCUCUCUCAGUCCUGCUCUCGCAGUUACUCGACCCACUGCUGAAAUGUUGCACCUGUGCCUGAAAUAGGAAGUGUGACGUUGUUUUGGUGCCAGAAAUCUUAGACAUGUGGAGCGCUGAGUGGGGCAUGUGAUGUCCAGGGGGUAUCUCUCUGUCUUUAAAUUAGUAAUAAAGGCUUUCCUGCGACAUAACAGCUAAGUGGAAGCAAGGAACAACAUCUUAAUGAGGUCUUUAGAUAUAGAUGUUCACAACUUUCAUGUGAGUUCUUCAUAACACGCCAUAUGGAUUUAUUUUUAUUGAAGUCACCUGGGGUUUAAUGCCUAUAGUGAGAGCUCAUUGCUCACUUGAGGGGUUCGAACCAGCAUCAUUCUGGUUACUAGCCCUGAGCCUUAACCACUUAACCACCACCCUAGUGUCCUGUAAAACCUGAGGUUUGUGUGAGUGGUGAGUGUGGGAGCUAGGCAGAUACUUGCAGACCAAAGACCCAAGUCUUCAUGAUAUUCUGGGGCAAGCUGUGUACUGAAGUAAUACCAAUAGCGAUAGCAUCGCCUUAGCAUCAAUGACUUAAAGGGGUCCUAUUAUGCUCUUUGACAAAGUCUUGAUUUUGUUUUGGGGUGUACUAGAACAGGCUCUCAUACUAGGUUAUUAAAAAAACACAUUAUUUAUCACAUAUACAUUAUUACAACACCUCUCUCCCUAGUCUGGCAUGAACGGCUCGAAUAGUCCCUGUAUCAAAUGAAGGCCCACCUUCUGAAAUACGAAAUGUUCUGUGAUUGGUUUGCUGGCCCAGUCUGUGUUGUGAUUGGUUAGCUGGGCCAGUGUGUGUUGUUUUUGGCACCACUCGGCGCCUGGUCGAGAAAUGUCAUGCCCUUACCAUAGCCCAUUGCUGCGAGCUUCAGUGUAAAUAUUACGUCAAGAUCAAAUCAAUUUGAGCGUGAUUUAAACUCGGAUGAUUGUAACCACUCUUAAGUUCGUCUGUCUCGGGAAAGCUACAGUACCGUGUCUCCAACAUAGUGAUAUAACACUCGUUGCUUUCUCUAGUGCAGCUCAACCAGGUCUCGCCCCAUUUGUCGAUAUUUGUGAUAUCACAAAUCACGGAAAAUAUGUGUUGUAGUCCAAACGAGUCGUUCGUUGUAGUUUUUGAAAAGUGAUUUCUGUUAAAUAAAAUAGCUCCUUUUGAAUUGGAUUUUGAGCUUUGUAACUUUGCAGAUCUUCUUUUAUGCUCAAACAGCAACAUUACAGACUA